rnacentral:rRNA from 1 species
AGAUGGAUUGGUGCCUUCGGGAACUCUGACACAGGUGCUGCAUGGCUGUCGUCAGCUCGUGUCGUGAGAUGUUGGGUUAAGUCCCGUAACGAGCGCAACCCUUGUCCUUAGUUACCAGCACGUUAUGGUGGGCACUCUAAGGAGACUGCCGGUGACAAACCGGAGGAAGGUGGGGAUGACGUCAAGUCAUCAUGGCCCCUACGGCCUGGGCUACACACGUGCUACAAUGGUCGGUACAAAGGGUUGCCAAGCCGCGAGGUGGAGCUAAUCCCAUAAAACCGAUCGUAGUCCGGAUCGCAGUCUGCAACUCGACUGCGUGAAGUCGGAAUCGCUAGUAAUCGUGAAUCAGAAUGUCACGGUGAAUACGGUUCCCGGGCCUU